rfam:Nectria haematococca mpVI 77-13-4 chromosome 9 genomic scaffold NECHAsca_6_chr9_2_0, whole genome shotgun sequence.
ACAUACGACCAUAGCCCUUUGAGAAUACGGGAUCCCGUCCGCUCUCCCAUAGUCAAGCAGAGGAGCGCUUGAGUAGUAGUUGGGUCGGUGACGACCAGCGAAUGCCGAGUGUUGUAUGUC